GAUGAACGCUGACAGAAUGCUUAACACAUGCAAGUCGACUUGAAUUGGGGUUUUUAACUUCGGUUUGGGUGGCGGACGGGUGAGUAACGCGUAAAGAACUUGCCUCACAGCUAGGGACAACACUUGAAAACGAGUGCUAUUACCUAAUAUUAUGAUACUAGGGCCUCCUAUAAUUAUGAAAGCUAUAAGCGCUGUGAGAGAGCUUUGCGUCCCAUUAGCUAGUUGGAGAGGUAACGGCUCACCAAGGCGAUGAUGGGUAGCCGGCCUGAGAGGGUGAUCGGCCACAAGGGGACUGGGACACGGCCCUUACUCCUACGGGAGGCAGCGGUGGGGAAUAUUGGACAAUGGACCGAGAGUCUGAUCCAGCAAUUCUGUGUGCAAGAUGAAGUUUUUCGGAAUGUAAAGUGCUUUCAGUUGAGAAGAAACAAAUGACGGUACCAACAGAAGAAGUGACGGCUAAAUACGUG
rnacentral:rRNA from 1 species